GACGAACGCUGGCGGCGUGCCUAACACAUGCAAGUCGAGCGAGUGGAGUUCUUCGGAACAAAGCUAGCGGCGGACGGGUGAGUAACACGUGGGCAACCUGCCUCGUAGAGGGGAAUAGCCUCCCGAAAGGGAGAUUAAUACCGCAUAAGAUUGUAGCUUCGCAUGAAGUAGCAAUUAAAGGAGUAAUCCGCUAUGAGAUGGGCCCGCGGCGCAUUAGCUAGUUGGUGAGGUAACGGCUCACCAAGGCGACGAUGCGUAGCCGACCUGAGAGGGUGAUCGGCCACAUUGGGACUGAGACACGGCCCAGACUCCUACGGGAGGCAG
rnacentral:rRNA from 1 species